rnacentral:lncRNA from 1 species
GGGACGGUAACUCAAAAGGCUAUCCCAGAAAAGUUGAAGUCAACGGUUCCUGGAAGAGCGUUUUUCGUGACCGGUCAAAAUGCGAGGAACCCGAACGAAGUUAGCACGGGUUAGUUAAUUAUAAAUUCUUGCAAAGUUUAUACCUUACUAGAUACCGGUUCUACCCAUUCUUUUAUCUCUCUUGCUUGCGCUCAACGUUUGAACUUGACUACGGAGAAAUUAGACUUUGAC